GAGACAGAGUCUCGCUUUGUUGCCCAGGCUGGAGUGCAGUGGCGUGAUCUCGGCUCACUGCAAGCUCCGCCCCCCGACGUUCAAGUGAUUCUCCUGUCUCAGCCUCCCGAGUAGCUGAGGUGGGAGGACUGCUUGAGCCUGGGAGUUCAAGACCAGCCUGGGCAACAUAGUGAGACCCCAUCUCUACAAAAAAAAUAAAAAAAUAGCUGGGUGUGGUAGCAUGUGCCUGUAGUCCCAGCUACUCAGGAGGCUGAUGUGGGAGGACAGCUUGAGCUCAGGAGGUUUAGGCUGCAGUGAGCUAAGAUAGUGCCACUGCACUCCAGCUUCAGCUACAGAGCAAGACCCUGUCUCUAAAAAUAUAAAGAAAGAAAAUUUAAAAGUAAAGAAAAAGUGGAUCAUUCGGUCCUUUAAGAUGUGGCACUGCCCAAUUAGAACUUUCCUCCAUGCAAUGCAAUUACAGUCACUGAGGCACUGGAUUUUCUAGUUUUAUUUAACUAAGACGGAGACUGAAACAGCCACACGUGGCUCCUGGCUACUGUGCUGCUGAACACAGGCCCUCACUACUCAAAAGUGUGGUCCGUGGACCAGCAGUAUUAGCAUUACCAGGGAGCUCCUUAGGAACAUAGGUCCUUGAUCAGGUGUGGUGGCUCACACCUAUAACCCCAGCACUUUGGGAGGCCAAGGCAGGAGGAUCACUUGAGCCCAGGAGUUCAAGACCAGCCUGGGCAACAUAGUGAAACCUCGUCUCUACAAAAAAAUACAUUAGCCAGCUGUGGUGGUAUGUGCCUGUAGUCCCAGGAGGCUGAGGUGGGAGGAUCGCUUGAGCCUGGGGGAGGUUGAGGCUACAUUGAGCCAUGAUCGCCUCACCUGGGUGACAAAGUGAGACUGUGUCUCAAAAAAGAAAAAGAAAAGAAAUGUAGGCCCUUAGCCUGUACCUCCCCAGCCUGUUAGGCAGAAUCUGAAUUCCACAAAAACACCCCCAAGGGAUUUAGGAGGAUGUUGAAAUCUGAGACCCUCCCAUGGUUGAGGCCACCAGUCACUUACACACAAAUGCCUUCCUCUGCAGCACCAGGAGACAGAGCCCAUCACAGAACUUCUCAGGGUGCCUCCUACACCACACUAGCUUUGUGUGUUUGUUCUUUAAUGCCUCAAGGCAUACUACUAGCCAAGGAGAGUAACUAACAGCAGCUGUUGAACACUAUGGGUCAGACUUUGACCAUCUGUUAUGGACUGAAUUGUGUCACCUACCCAUGACUAAAUUCAUAUGCUGAAGCUCUGACCUCCAACAGGGACUGUAUUUGGAGACAGGGCCUUUGGGAGGUAAUUAAGGUUAAAUAAGGUCAUAAGGGUGGGGUGAUAAGCUGACAAAAGGGAGGCUGGUUGUGGUGGCUCACGCCUGUAAUCCCAGCACUUUGGGAGGCAGAGGUGGGUGGAUCACUUGAGGUUAGCAGUUCAAAACCAACCUGGCCAACGUGGUGAAACCCCACCUCUAC
rnacentral:lncRNA from 1 species